UACGUAGGGUGCGAGCGUUGUCCGGAAUUAUUGGGCGUAAAGGGCUCGUAGGCGGUUUUGUCGCGUCGGGAGUGAAAACCUCGGGCUUAACUCGGGGCUUGCUUUCGAUACGGGCAGACUGGAGGUAUGCAGGGGAGAACGGAAUUCCUGGUGUAGCGGUGAAAUGCGCAGAUAUCAGGAGGAACACCGGUGGCGAAGGCGGUUCUCUGGGCAUGACCUGACGCUGAGGAGCGAAAGUGUGGGGAGCGAACAGG
rnacentral:rRNA from 1 species